rnacentral:rRNA from 1 species
AUUGAACGCUGGCGGCAGGCCUAACACAUGCAAGUCGAGCGAGCGGCGGACGGGUGAGUAAUGUAUGGGGACUGCCCGAUAGAGGGGGAUAACUACUGGUAACGGUGGCUACUACCGCAUACUAUCGGCUAACGCAUAUGGGAUUGGCUAGUAGGUGGGGUAAAGGCGAACCUAUGCGACGAUCUCUAGCUGGUCUGAGAGGAUGAUCAGCCAGACUGAGACAGAGACACGGCACAGACGAACACGGAGGCAGCAGUGGGGAAUAUUGCAAAAUGGGAGAAAGCCUGAUGCAGUCAUGCCGCGUGUAUGAAGAAGGCCUUAGGGUUGUAAAGUACUUUCAGAGGGGAGGCGUUACCCGCAGAAGAAGCACAGGCUAACGCCGAGCCAGCAGCCGCGUAAUAC